UAGAAGAAAUCUUGGCUUUGAACUUUUUUCUCACACUGUGCAGUAGUACGAGGACAGCAAAAACUGAGAUUUACGAAGGAUGAGACUGCUGCUGGACACGGACAAAGGCCUGGUUGGGAAGCCAGCCAGGAAGACUGAUUGCUGAUGGAAGCUUCCUCUUUUACUCAUGAAGUAGUAGAUGGAGAAGAAAGAGUCAAAAAAAAGGCUUUUCCCAUCAUUCUCUCAACUGAGUCUGCAGAAGAUCAGCUCCAGUUCAAUGAGGCCUAGACUUCAGUUAAGACUUAUAGUAGAUUACUCAACUGGACUCAGGAGAGAGAGAGAAUAUGGUAAGCGAGUCAUUAUUAAGAAUCAAAUUAUAUAAAACUAAAUUAAAUAGAUUAUAUUAAAAGCAAAGGUAAGAGAUACUGAAAACUUGUACUUCCUAAUUAUUUUACUACAUUUUACUAUUAUCUGUGCUCUUGAGGUUAUUUAUGUCUGUUGUAUCUGUGGUGGAAAUACCAUAUAAUGGUGUGCUACUAUGCAUCUCUUCCCAACUCUAUAUUCAGUGACAUCACAUUGGUAGCUAGACAUUGGCCAUCGUGGGAGUAUUGACACCGUGGAGAUUGGAGACAUGCUUUAAAAUGUGGUAUAUACAUACAAUGGAAGAUUAUUCAGCCUUAGAAAAGAAGAAAAUCCUGCCAUAAGUGACAACAUGGAAUGAAUCUGGAGGGCAUCAUGCUACGUGAAAUUAGCCAGUCACAGAAGGACAAAUCUGCAUGAUUCUACUUAUAUGAGGCAUCUAAAAUAGUCAGACUCAUAGAAACAGAGAGUAGAACGGUGGUUGCUAGAGGUUGAGGGGGAGGGAGAAAUGGGGAGUUAUUGUUCAACAAGUAUUAAUUUCAGUUAUACAAGACAAGUUCUGGAGACCUACUGUAAAGCAUUGUGCCUAUAGUUAAUGACAUGGUGUUCUGCA
rnacentral:lncRNA from 1 species